AUUGAACGCUGGCGGCAGGCCUAACACAUGCAAGUCGAACGGUAACAGGAAGAAGCUUGCUUCUUUGCUGACGAGUGGCGGACGGGUGAGUUAUGUCUGGGAAACUGCCUGAUGGAGGGGGAUAACUACUGGAAACGGUAGCUAAUACCGCAUAACGUCGCAAGACCAAAGAGGGGGACCUUCGGGCCUCUUGCCAUCGGAUGUGCCCAGAUGGGAUUAGCUAGUAGGUGGGGUAACGGCUCACCUAGGCGACGAUCCCUAGCUGGUCUGAGAGGAUGACCAGCCACACUGGAACUGAGACACGGUCCAGACUCCUACGGGAGGCAGCAGUGGGGAAUAUUGCACAAUGGGCGCAAGCCUGAUGCAGCCAUGCCGCGUGUAUGAAGAAGGCCUUCGGGUUGUAAAGUACUUUCAGCGGGGAGGAAGGGAGUAAAGUUAAUACCUUUGCUCAUUGACGUUACCCGCAGAAGAAGCACCGGCUAACUCCGUG
rnacentral:rRNA from 1 species